GCUGGUCAAAAGGAACCAAGGCC
rnacentral:miRNA from 1 species